rnacentral:rRNA from 1 species
GUAGUCAUAUGCUUGUCUCAAAGAUUAAGCCAUGCAUGUCUAAGUAUAAGCAAUUUGUACGGUGAAACUGCGAAUGGCUCAUUAAAUCAGUUAUAGUUUAUUUGAUAGUACCUUACUACAUGGAUACCUGUGGUAAUUCUAGAACUAAUGCAUGCUUAAAACCCCGACUUCGGAAGGGGUGUAUUUAUUAGAUAAAAAACCAAUGCCCUCCGGGGCUCCUUGGUGAAUCAUAAUAACUUAUCGAAUCGCAUGGCCUUGCGCUGGCGAUGGUUCAUUCAAAUUUCUGCCCUAUCAACUUUCGAUGGUAGGAUAGUGGCCUACCAUGGUGGCAACGGGUAACGGGGAAU